rnacentral:rRNA from 1 species
CAGUCGCCGCGGUAAUACGAAGGGUGCAAGCGUUACUCGGAAUUACUGGGCGUAGAGCGCACGCAGGCGGUUUGUUAAGUCAGAUGUGAAAUCCCCGAGCUUAACUUGGGAACUGCAUUUGAAACUGGCAAGCUAGAGUCUUGUAGAGGGGGGUAGGAUUCCAGGUGUAGCGGUGAAAUGCGUAGAGAUCUGGAGGAAUACCGGUGGCGAAGGCGGCCCCCUGGACAAAGACUGACGCUCAGGUGCGAAAGCGUGGGGAGCAAACAGGAUUAGAUACCCGCGUAGUCCCUGUCUCUUAUAC